rnacentral:rRNA from 1 species
UGGGGAAUAUUGGACAAUGUGGGCAACCCUGAUCCAGCCAUGCCGCGUGAGUGAAGAAGGCCUUAGGGUUGUAAAGCUCUUUCAGUCGUGACGAUGAUGACGGUAGCGACAGAAGAAGCCCCGGCUAACUCCGUGCCAGCAGCCGCGGUAAUACGGAGGGGGCAAGCGUUGUUCGGAUUUACUGGGCGUAAAGGGCGCGUAGGCGGGGUAUCAAGUUAGGGGUGAAAGCCCGGGGCUCAACCUCGGAACUGCCUUUAAAACUGUCGAUCUUGAGUCCGGGAGAGGUGAGUGGAAUUCCUAGUGUAGAGGUGAAAUUCGUAGAUAUUAGGAAGAACACCAGUGGCGAAGGCGGCUCACUGGCCCGGUACUGACGCUGAGGUGCGAAAGCGUGGGGAGCAAACAGGAUUAGAUACCCGCGUAGUCC